UUCCCCCAGUAGCGGCGAGCGAACGGGGAGGAGCCCAGAGCCUGAAUCAGUGUGUGUGUUAGUGGAAGCGUCUGGAAAGGCGCGCGAUACAGGGUGACAGCCCCGUACACAAAAAUGCACAUGCUGUGAGCUCGAUGAGUAGGGCGGGACACGUGGUAUCCUGUCUGAAUAUGGGGGGACCAUCCUCCAAGGCUAAAUACUCCUGACUGACCGAUAGUGAACCAGUACCGUGAGGGAAAGGCGAAAAGAACCCCGGCGAGGGGAGUGAAAAAGAACCUGAAACCGUGUACGUACAAGCAGUGGGAGCACGCUUAGGCGUGUGACUGCGUACCUUUUGUAUAAUGGGUCAGCGACUUAUAUUCUGUAGCAAGGUUAACCGAAUAGGGGAGCCGAAGGGAAACCGAGUCUUAACUGGGCGUUAAGUUGCAGGGUAUAGACCCGAAACCCGGUGAUCUAGCCAUGGGCAGGUUGAAGGUUGGGUAACACUAACUGGAGGACCGAACCGACUAAUGUUGAAAAAUUAGCGGAUGACUUGUGGCUGGGGGUGAAAGGCCAAUCAAACCGGGAGAUAGCUGGUUCUCCCCGAAAGCUAUUUAGGUAGCGCCUCGUGAAUUCAUCUCCGGGGGUAGAGCACUGUUUCGGCAAGGGGGUCAUCCCGACUUACCAACCCGAUGCAAACUGCGAAUACCGGAGAAUGUUAUCACGGGAGACACACGGCGGGUGCUAACGUCCGUCGUGAAGAGGGAAACAACCCAGACCGCCAGCUAAGGUCCCAAAGUCAUGGUUAAGUGGGAAACGAUGUGGGAAGGCCCAGACAGCCAGGAUGUUGGCUUAGAAGCAGCCAUCAUUUAAAGAAAGCGUAAUAGCUCACUGGUCGAGUCGGCCUGCGCGGAAGAUGUAACGGGGCUAAACCAUGCACCGAAGCUGCGGCAGCGACGCUUAUGCGUUGUUGGGUAGGGGAGCGUUCUGUAAGCCUG
rnacentral:rRNA from 1 species